UCAGUCUCACUCGCACAGACACGGGGAAAGGUGCUGCACAGAUGAAUAAUUGAGGAUAGCAGCCAGAGGGGGAAAGAUACACCUGCAUGUCCGUAACCUGUGGAAGAGGUGGUGUUGGCAAUCUCUGGGACACCUGUUGGCACACUAGGC